UCGAGGGGCAGCGGGGAGAGUGCUUGCACUCUCUGCCGGCGACCGGCGCACGGGUGAGUAACACGUAUGCAACCUGCCCCCGUCCGGGGGACAACCUUCCGAAAGGGAGGCUAAUCCCGCGUAUAUCCCCGAGGGGCAUCCCUGGGGGAGGAAAGCUCCGGCGGACGGGGAUGGGCAUGCGGCGCAUUAGCUAGACGGCGGGGUGACGGCCCACCGUGGCGACGAUGCGUAGGGGUUCUGAGAGGAAGGUCCCCCACACUGGUACUGAGACACGGACCAGACUCCUACGGGAGGCAGCAGUGAGGAAUAUUGGUCAAUGGCCGGAAGGCUGAACCAGCCAAGCCGCGUGAGGGAAGACGGCCCUACGGGUUGUAAACCUCUUUAGCCGGGGAACAAGGCGCGGGACGAGUCCCGCUGUGAGCGUACCCGGAGAAUAAGCAUCGGCUAACUCCGUGCCAGCAGCCGCGGUAAUACGGAGGAUGCGAGCGUUAUCCGGAUUUAUUGGGUUUAAAGGGUGCGUAGGCGGUUGCUUAAGUCAGCGGUCAAAUGGCGGGGCUCAACCCCGUCCAGCCGUUGAAACUGGGUGGCUUGAGUCGGCGAGAAGUACGCGGAAUGCGCGGUGUAGCGGUGAAAUGCAUAGAUAUCGCGCAGAACUCCGAUUGCGAAGGCAGCGUACCGGCGCCGUACUGACGCUGAGGCACGAAAGCGUGGGUAUCGAACAGGAUUAGAUACCCUGGUAGUCCACGCAGUAAACGAUGGAUGCUGGUUGUCCGGGGCGUUUUGGUCCUGGGCGGCGAAGCGAAAGCGAUAAGCAUCC
rnacentral:rRNA from 1 species